rnacentral:rRNA from 1 species
GCAUAUCAAUAAGCGGAGGAAAAGAAACUAACAAGGAUUCCCCUAGUAGCGGCGAGCGAAGCGGGAAGAGCUCAAAUUUAUAAUCUGGCACCUUCGGUGUCCGAGUUGUAAUCUCUAGAAGUGUUUUCCGCGUUGGACCGCACACAAGUCUGUUGGAAUACAGCGGCACAGUGGUGAUACCCCCGUACACGGUGCGGACGCCCAGCGCUUUGUGAUACACUUUCAAUGAGUCGAGUUGUUUGGGAAUGCAGCUCAAAUUGGGUGGUAAAUUCCAUCUAAAGCUAAAUAUUGGCGAGAGACCGAUAGCGAACAAGUACCGUGAGGGAAAGAUGAAAAGCACUUUGGAAAGAGAGUUAACAGUACGUGAAAUUGUUGGAAGGGAAACGCUUGAAGUCAGACUUGCUUGCCGGAGCUUGCUUCGGUUUGCAGGCCAGCAUCAGUUUUCCGGGGUGGAUAAUGGUGGUUUGAAGGUAGCAGCCUCGGCUGUGUUAUAGCUUUCCACUGGAUACAUCCUGGGGGACUGAGGAACGCAGCGUGCUUUUUGCGAAGGUUUCGACCUUUUCACGCUUAGGAUGCUGGUGUAAUGACUUUAAACGACCCGUCUUGAAACACGGACC